UUAGUGCAAACUAUGGUCACGAUCGGUGUUAUUUUUGGUUGUUAAAAUAUUGUGAGUGCUCUAUACGCAAAUGAAUAUUCAAGAUGUUAUAUUCUAAAAGAUAUUAGUGGAUGCAGAUAAGAGUGUUUAGUGAGUGCUAUGUUUGAAUAUUGCAAGUGAAAACGCAGCCUAUCGAUGUAAUGCGCCGAUAAAUUAUCAUGACUCCAUUGAUGUAAUGCGCUUAAAAACUGCAAUGGCUCCGAAUACAUGAUUACCAGAUAACAAAUCCUGGGUAAGAAUUUAUCACUAUUUUCAUAUGGUAUUGUGCUUAUGCUAGGCCUAUACAGUGUUGUGGUGCUGAAGUUGAUAAAGUUAUAACAGCCAAUUUACUUGUCAAAACUCAUUUGUACCUAUCAGUUACAAGCGACAAAAACGUGUUUCUGAACUAAAUACCUAUGUAAGUAAUUCACACCCUGUGAAAUUUCAUACAAGUUUCAAACGCACCGUCCGACCAAACCGGUUUUGGACAAAAGCCAAAUUGUUUUCUCAGCUAUCUCUUUCGCUCAAAAACAAUAGAGGUCGGUUAUGGGACAUAUAUAUUGAAAAAGGCGAAUACACUAAUGAACAGUAUUUCUACUCUACCCUUUUCGCACAAAAGUUCGCAGUUUCAAGUAAUUGUUGCAAUAAGUUACUGAUAAGAAAUUUUACUCCACUGUUUGCUGUGGUCUCCAAAUGACAAUAAAUUACCAAACAAAUAGUCUAGGUGAAAUAACGUUAUUAUUACUCGUAUCUACCUACUCGUAUAUAAUAU